AUGUCAAAAUUUCAAAAAGUCAAAACAUCAAAGUGUCAAAAUCUCAAAAUCUCAAAAUGCCAAAAUGUCAAAAUCUCAAAAUUUCAAAACCCCCCCGCAGCUCGGACCGCCAAGGCUCCCUCCGUCUCCGUCUUCCCGCCGCCGGCCGAGCAGCUGGCGACGCAGGAGCGCGCCACCCUCACCUGCCUGAUCCAGGGCUUCGACCCCCCUGACCUCUUCGUCCGCUGGCUCCGCGACGGCGAACCCCUCCCUCCGUCCGCCUCCGUCACCUUCCCCCCGCUGCCGGACGCUUCGGGUUCCGCCUUCGUCACCUACAGCUCGUUAGCGGUCUCCAGCCAGGAGUGGGGGACCGGGAGCGUCUUCACCUGCGUCGUGGGGCACGAGCGCCUCCCGCUGCAGCUGCUCCAAAAAUCCCUGGACAAGGCUUCGGGUAGAGCCGCCAACGUCAGCGUCUCCCUCGUCCUGGCCGACGCCGCCGGGACCUGCUACUGA